rnacentral:tRNA from 1 species
GCGAGCAUGGUAUAGCAGCUGGUGCCUCGGGCCUCCAACCCGAUGACGCGAGUUCAACUCUCGCUGCUCGCUCCA